CUGAGGACCACUUAUCAUUCAAGGGGACAGACCCUACGGGGAGGAGCAGAGCUGGGGCCCUCCGGAGGCCAGCCUCUCAAGAGCCAUUUCUGGUGCUACCGGAGGAGCGAGGCCCUGUUCUGAUCCGGAGACACUGCAGCGUCUAUAGAAGGAAGAGGCCUUUGCCAGGUGAGAUAAAGAGGUCAGUUUCUCCUGGGGCCUCUCUCUGCUGUCUAAACACUUGCCAAGGCACCAAACCGGCUCUAUCUAGAAUGAUAAGGAAGUGUGUGAACUCCAAGCCCCAAGGACAGGCACCCUCUUCCCCUCCAAGGAACUGACUCAGCGCAAGAAGACAGCUCGGACUCCAUUUGAUUUCAUCCCUGAUCAGUCGGCACUCCCGGCUCACUGGCUUCCCUCCACCCACCAAGUUAUUCUUAAAACCUCUGCUCCCUGAAUGCUCGGGGAGACCGAUUUAAUAAUAAAACUCCAGGCUCUUGCACAGCUGGCUCUGCAUGAAUUACUCUUUCUCUAUUGCAAUUCCCCUGUCUUGAUGAAUUGGCUCCAUCUAGGCAGUGGACAAGGUGAACCCACUGGGAGAUUACACUUACACAAAGCGGAAAUUUGGACACAGAGACAUGAGUCAAAGGAAGACAAUGUGAAGACACAGAAGAUGGCCCUUUGCAAGCCAAGGAGAAAGGCCUGGAACAGACCUUGAAGACCCUGGCUUGCAGACCUUCCCUCACAGCCUCAGAAGGAGCCCACCCUGCUGACACCUUGAUUUUGGACUUCCAGCCCCAGAACUAUGAGACAGUGUAUUUCUGUUGUUUAAGCCAUAGGUACCCAGCCUUUGUACUGUUUUCAGCAGCUCUAAAUCCCCUCUAUUAAAUGCCUUAGUGCUGAAAA